AUUGAACGCUGGCGGCAUGCUUUACACAUGCAAGUCGAACGGUAACAGGUUAAGCUGACGAGUGGCGAACGGGUGAGUAAUGCAUCGGAACGUGCCCGGUCGUGGGGGAUAACGCAGCGAAAGCUGCGCUAAUACCGCAUACGAUCUGAGGAUGAAAGCGGGGGACCGUAAGGCCUCGCGCGAUCGGAGCGGCCGAUGUCAGUUUAGGUAGUUGGUGGGGUAAAGGCGCACCAAGCCCACGAUCUGUAGCUGGUCUGAGAGGACGACCAGCCACACUGGGAAUGAGACACGGCCCAGACUCCUACGGGAGGCAGCAGUGGGGAAUUUUGGACAAUGGGCGAAAGCCUGAUCCAGCAAUGCCGCGUGCAGGAAGAAGGCCUUCGGGUUGUAAACUGCUUUUGUACGGAGCGAAAAGGUCUCCUCUAAUACAGGGGGCUCAUGACGGUACCGUAAGAAUAAGCACCGGCUAACUACGUGCCAGCAGCCGCCGUAA
rnacentral:rRNA from 1 species